GGAUUUGGGGUCAUUUGGGGGGUGAGUCAUUGUGGGGAGAAUUUGGGGGAUUUGGGGUCAUUUUGGGGAAAUUUGGGUGGUUUUUGUGGGAUUUUGGGUCAUUUGGGGGCAGAUUUGGGGUCAUUUUUGGGUUUUUGGCUCACUUCUAUGGGAUUUUGGCUCACUUUUGAGUCGUUUUGUGGGAUUUUCAGUCGUUUUGUGGGAUUUUGUGUCCUUUUGUGGGAUCGUGGCUCACAUUUAUGGGAUUUUGGCUCACUUCUAUGUGAUUUUGGCUCACUUUUAUGGGAUUUUGUGUCAUUUUAUGGGAUUUCAGCUCACUUCUGUGGGAUUUUGGCUCACUUCUAUGGGAUUGUGGCUCACUUUUGUGGGAUUUUGGCUCACUUCUAUGGGAUUUUGGCUCACUUUUGUGGGAUUUUGGGAUCAUUUUGUGGGAUUUUGGCUCACUUUUGUGGGAUUUUGGCUCACUUUUAUGGGAUUUUGGCUCACUUUUAUGGGAUUUUGGCUCACUUUUGUGGGAUUUCAGCUCAUUUUUAUGGGAUUUCAGCUCACUUCUAUGGGAUUUUGUGUCAUUUUAUGGGAUUUUGGCUCACUUUUGUGGGAUUUCAGCUCAUUUUUAUGGGAUUUCGGCUCACUUUUGUGGGAUUUUGCUUCCUUCCCCCCAAAAAACCCUACAGAACCUAUAGGGCAUCCAACAUGAAGACCCCUGGGGAGCAGUCGGUGCCUGCCCUCAAUUUGCAGAACGCUUUUAGGAUCAUCAAGGAGGUCCAAAAACGUUACAAGACGC
rnacentral:lncRNA from 1 species